CCAUGAGGAUGUAGGUUUGAUCCCUGGCCUCACUCAGUGGGUUAAGGAUCUGGCGUUGCGAUGAGCUGUGGUGUAGGUCUCAGCAAGAACCUCCAUAUACUGUGGGUGUGACCCUAAAAAGCAAAAAAAAAAAAAAAAAAAGGAAAGGAUUUGCCAGCCAUGCAGGUGGCUGACAGCCUCCAAAGGUUGGCUCCUUCAGGGUCUGCAGCCUCUGGCCAUUGACAGGGCCAGGCAGGGUCAGUGGAUCCGGUCAUUUCUGCUCACUGUGCUGCAAUUCCUCUAACAGGCAGCCUUUGUUUCAGGGGGUCCCUCUUGGGCUGACAUCGUGGCCUAGUGGUCCCCCUACCCCAGUCCUGCUUCCUCCCCCACUUUCUCACAGGCCGCUCUCCACAAACCUUUGCCCUCCCAACGCUAAGCAUCUGGACACCCCGUCUGCAACCAUGGAGUCAGACAACUGAGUGUGAGGACUGCCUCUGCCCCAGUGGCUUUGGAGCUGCAUCUGAUCUCUCUGGGGCUCGGUUUCCCCUCUGAGUCAUGGGGAUGAUGGCUGAGAGGGUCCGGUGAGUCAGCAGGAGCGCCCAGGGCAUGGUUGCCUGGCGCAGAUACCCCACCUUCCUUUGUAAAGAGUGAGGCGAAUGGAAUCUGGGUCUAUCUUCCUCUCCGCCAAUUUCCAUCCCUGGGGUCACUGCCAAGUGUGUUGCCCUAUGAGCCUGGUCUGUAAAGUGGGGCUGGACCCCGCCCUCCCAGGGUAGGGCACCUGCAGGUCAGGUGUGGGAAGCCCCACGGAGCCCAGCUCUUUGGAUGCUUAAUAGCCAGGUGGUGUCACCCUUGUGCCUGAGGCCAGGUCAGGGGUGGGAGGUGAGCAGGAAUCUGCAGGGCGGGCGUAUUUGACUCCCGUGAGGCCCGGGGCUGACAAGUAAUGGGAAGUCCCAGGGCUGGGAACACGUCCUGUCCUCCCGCAGAAGUUCUCUGGGUCUAGGAUACACCGUGGAGGCGGGGAGCCGGGAGCAGGGCCCGCUGCCCUGGUCAUUCUGGCAGCCCGCGGGGAGGGAGGAUGUGCGGGAAAGAGGGCGGGGCUGGGGGCUGGGGGAAGGGGAGUGGCAGGAAGGCCUCCACCACCAGACUGGCCCCUCAGGUGGGGACACUUUCUCCAUCAGGGCAGGAGCUCCUUUGCAGGUGUGCACAGGGCUCCUCCUCCGCCAUCAGAUGAGUUUCUCCCCAAGAAUGUGAGGGCGACUUCCCAGAAGGUUAGACAUGUCAGAGAGGUGCCGCCUCCGCUACGAGGCUCAGACACCCCCCUCCCAGGAUGACUAGGAAAGCUCGAGCUUCCCGAAGCAUGCCUCCACCACCUCUAAAGCUUCCUCAGGGUGCAUCUCUGUCCCGCCUCCUCCAUCAGACUAGCUCACUGACUUGGGGGGCUCGAUCCCGCCAUCUGACUAGGAGCACUUAAUGAGAUUAAGUCUCGUCCCCAGUAUUAAAGUAUAAGCUGAGCAUUACCCGGGAGGAAGCGGGAGCCUGCCUCCUCCAUCAGCCUAGCCACUCCCUGCGCCAGGACGACCCUCCCAUAAGGAACUGGGAGCCCUGCUUCCCAAGCCCACUUUCCCAGCGAAGAGCACAGAGCCCGGCUCAGAGGAAGGGACAGCACCAUCCCUGAAAAGCUGGCUUUUUCCCUGGAAGCCGGUGCCUCCCCAGCCCCAGGCCACAACCUCCCCUGUAGCCACCGAAGCUUAAAAACACAGAUGCAAAAGUCCCCCAGGCUCCUGGGAAAGCCAGGUCACCCCGGGCCCUUCCUCAUUUGAGCCGGGGCCACGGUGGUCUCCUCUCCCCUGUCCCCAGCCACCGUCCCAGUUGGGGCCAGCUCUGCCCUGCCGCACUUUCCCACAAGAUCGAGCACCCAGCGGGCGUGUCUCC
rnacentral:lncRNA from 1 species